rnacentral:rRNA from 1 species
UACGAAGGGGGCUAGCGUUGUUCGGAAUUACUGGGCGUAAAGGGCGCGUAGGCGGCCGGCUAAGUUAGAUGUGAAAGUCCUGGGCUCAACCUGGGGACUGCAUUUAAUACUGGUUGGCUUGAAUUCGGGAGAGGAUAGCGGAAUUCCCAGUGUAGAGGUGAAAUUCGUAGAUAUUGGGAAGAACACCGGUGGCGAAGGCGGCUCACUGGCCCGUAACUGACGCUCAGGCGCGAUAGCGUGGGGAUCAAACAGG